rfam:Dipodomys ordii contig_63661, whole genome shotgun sequence.
GGUGGCUCAGUGGUAGAGUGCUUGCCUUGCAUGCAUGAGGCCCUGGGUCCAAUUCCUUAGCACCA